UGAACAUGGAGGAAAGACAUUCCAGCAGGGGGAAAUGAUAUGAGCAAAGACACAGAGGUGGGACCUCCUAAAGUCUGCUGUGGAACGCUGUUGAUCCUAGAUGGGGGUGGCCAUGUUCUUGUAAAUGUGCACACAAGCUGAGAUACACAAGAAGAUUCACUGAUUUUGAGGUGGCCAGUUCUGAGAUUCAUGUCACCAGUUUCCUUAAAAGUUCUCUCUGAAUCAAGCUUUUUUGCCCGUCACAGUAGACAGUGUGAUCAUAUAUCUUUGGAUUGCCUUUCUCUCCUUCCUGCUUCUCUCCCCUCACCCCCUGUAAGGGCAAUAAGGCA
rnacentral:lncRNA from 1 species